rnacentral:rRNA from 1 species
AACGAACGCUGGCGGCAGGCUUAACACAUGCAAGUCGAACGCGUGUAGCAAUACACGAGUGGCGCACGGGUGAGUAACGCGUGGAUAUCUGCCUUUUGGUUCGGAAUAACCCCGGGAAACUGGGGCUAAUACCGGAUGGUUCCUUCGGGAUAAAGAUUUAUCGCCAAAAGAUGAGUCCGCGUCCGAUUAGCUAGUUGGUGAGGUAAUGGCUCACCAAGGCGACGAUCGGUAGCUGGUCUGAGAGGACGAUCAGCCACACUGGGACUGAGACACGGCCCAGACGCCUACGGGAGGCAGCAGUGGGGAAUAUUGGACAAUGGGGGCAACCCUGAUCCAGCCAUGCCGCGUGAGUGAUGAAGGCCUUCGGGUUGUAAAGCUCUUUUGGCGGGGACGAUGAUGACGGUACCCGCAGAAUAAGCCCCGGCUAACUUCGUGCCAGCAGCCGCAGUAACAC